CACCACGACGGGAACUCCUCUUUUACCUUGUACCAUGGCACCUGCGGCACAUGGAAGUUCCCCAGGCCAGGGGUCGAGUCAGAAGCCUAUGCUGCAGCCACCACGGGAACGCCACACACUCGCUGCCUUCUUACCACCGACCCUGCCACCCCACGAAACACUGCACCCCUGCCUGGCACUCCCCGUCCCCUCUCCUGCCCCCACCCUUAGGUUUUGUGGUUUGGUUCAGCUUUAUUUUGCCAAAGCACUUCCCUUCUCACAUUUCCUGUACUUUAUGUAUUUUAACUGUUUGUUUUGUUUCCCACGCUAAGAUGUCAGUUGCAGGAAGCGAGGAAUCUCGGGCUGUUUUGCUCACUGAUGUCUCGGGAGCACCAGGGCCAGGGCCGGAGCCUAUGGGCCACACCCGUGGCAUACGGAGGUUCCCAGGCUAGGGAUGGAAUCGGAGCUGCAGAUGCUGGCCUACACCACAGCCACAACCAUGCCAGAUCCGAACCGUGUCUGCAGUCUACACCACAGCUCACAGCAAUGCCAGAUUCUCAACCUACUGAGCGAGGCCAGGGAACGAACCUGUAUCCUCGGGAUAUGAGUCACAUUCAUCUCCACUGAGCCACGAAGGGAAAUCUGGCAGGAAGGAACUUGAAAGCUCUGGGCAAGGCUUGUCUGCCUUUGAGCCAGAAGGUACCCCGGGCAAAGGGGCAGGCUGGGGCAAAGGCCUGGCGGUGGGGGUUUGCUCAGGCUGCAGCGACCAGAGAGAGGCUGGGGGAGGCCUUGGCGCCAUGCUGGGGGUGGCUGGAAGCCAGUCCAGUGUCAGUGGCUGUGGCAUGGACAGUGCCAGCCCAGGUAUGGUCCCCCCGCCCCGGCCAUGUCCCCUUCCCACUCCAGGAGAACAAGCAGACACUCACUCAGGAAGAAGUAGAGGUGCUGGUGGUUGUAGGGUAAGUAUCUCCGCUUCUUCUGGCCGUACUGUGGGGACAGGUGGCCGCUGAGGAGGGCAGCUCUCUGGGCCUCCUCGUCCCAGGCAGGGUCAGGGGGUCGGCUGGGGCCGAGGAGCCAAGGCAACUCUAGGUUCCAGCAACUGGGAGGUGGGGAGGGGGUAGCCGGGGGGGGGGGGGCAGAAGCUCAUCCUGGAGCUAGAGCAGAGGGCCUGGGCCACAGGGGGGGGCUCGGGGGUCACCAGGUCCCCUCAGCUGCCCAGCCUGAGCGUGUCCCCCAUGCACCUCGAUGGAUGACUCCCCCAGGAGGAAGACAGGCGCCACGGUCACGUCUGGGUCCUUGUGGAAGAUGUUGGGCUUGGCGUGGUGCUGGAAGUGGCGGAAGUUCCACCAGUGGGCAGAGAAACCCUGCAGAGACAGGGGCUCUCAGGGGUGGGGCCAGGCUGGGUCCACUCUCCAGAGCCAGCGCGGGGACCCCGACUCAGCCCCAGGCUGCCCAGCCCCCAGCCCGCCCUCACCUUCAGCUGCCCCAUCACGAACUGCUGGGCCAAGUGGUUCCACCAGGACUUCCUGAAGAUGGAGAUGUGGCCCAGGUCGUGUUGCAGACACCAGCUCUGGGCCUGGGGAGACGCAGGAUCAGGGGCCUUGGCCGGGAGCCCCCAACGAGCCCUCCCAGCUCGCAGGGCACCCCCACAGCUGAUGUUCCACUCUAGACCCUAGGGGGCCAGCUUCCUCUUUUAUGCAGCUUGGCCCACCGAUACCGGCCUCAUGGGGCCUCUGGCUGGCCAUUUGUUUGUUCAUUCAUUCAUCUAUUCAGCAAAUAGGUCCUGAGUGUCCGUGUGUGCCAGGCCCUGUGUCUGUUGGACAGUUUAGGUGGCUGCAAGAAGUGCUGGGGUCACCUGGGAGAUGGCCAGGAUGAAGGCGGCGAGGGUGCUGGGCACCCAGCCGGGGCCGAGGAGGUAGAUGAUAAGCCAGGCGAGGACCUCCAUGGCCAGGAUGUGGCCCAGCAGGAGAGCAAAGAAGACGGGGUCGGCCUCAAAGAGUUUCAUGUCCUCAACUGCCUGGCGCAGGGCUCGGAAGUCCUCGACCAGCUGGGCCUGGCAGGGAAGAACGGCUGAUCAGCCAAGGAAGCCGGGGAGGCGCCAGUUAUCCCCAGAAGCAACACCACAACCCCCAGCUACUCCUCCCAGCCUCAGGCCCAAGGGGUGUGGCCAAAGAGAAUGGAGGGACCACGGGCAGCACUCAGCCUGGGGCGUGAGCUGGGUUGCUGGCUGGCUGCAAAGGCUGCCCCCCAGCAAAAGGUGUGGGAUGCAUGAGAAGCAGGAAAAACCCUUAGAACUCAGCUCCUCCAAAUCCUCAUUGUAGGAGUUCUCUUGUGGGCACAGCGGGUUAAGGAUCCGGCAUUGGUCACUGCAGCAGCCUGGGUCGCUGCCAUGAUGUGGGUUCAACCCCUGGCCUGGGAACGUCCACAUGCGGCAGGGACAGCCAAAAAACAAACCAAAAAACCCAGCUCAUCACAGAUGGGGGAGGGGGGGCGCUAAAAGCAAGGAGAAGGCUUGCCUGGGGUCCCCCAGCAAAUGCUGGUGCAGGUGCUACAGCUCUGCCUAUAACUGUGCCCAGGAAGAGACCGCAAACCCAGCCCUGGCCCCGGAGCCCCUAAGGAUGAUUCGGAUGGAGCUGCUACUGGCAAUGCCCCCCAUCCCCUCCAGCCCCUCUCUGGGGGCUUAGCCUCCACCAGGGCCCUGCUCACAUUCUGAGGUCCAUCCUGGCUGGGCUCCUCCGGGGCCAGCUCUCCAAUCAGCAGGGGCUGCAGGAACUUGCGCACAAAACUGAGGUCCUGGUGGAAGGCGUGGAAGGCAUCCUGAAGGAGAACAGACAGUCAGGGGGACAGACAGACAGACAGACCGUUGCAGCCUGAAGCAGCAGGCAAAGCAGACAGGCAGUCUGGCUGUUCAGCUGUCACAGAAAGAGGACCACUCGGGUCAGCCUGGCCCACGAGUGUCGCCCCGCCCUGCAGCCCUUCCCCAAACCCGGCUGGGCGUUUUGUUCUGUUUCUAUUUAUUUUUAUUAAAGCAUAGUUGAUUUACAGUGUUGUGUCAAUUUCUGCUGCAAAGCAACACGACCCAGUCAUAUAUAUAUAUAUUCUCUUAUUAAUAAAUCUUCCAUCGUGUUCUACCGUAA